rnacentral:rRNA from 1 species
AUUGAACGCUGGCGGCAGGCUUAACACAUGCAAGUCGAGCGAGUGGCGGACGGGUGAGUAAUGUAUGGGAAACUGCCUGAUGGAGGGGGAUAACUACUGGAAACGGUAGCUAAUACCGCAUACUAUCGGAUGUGCCCAUAUGGGAUUAGCUAGUAGGUGGGGUAAAGGCUCACCUAGGCUACGAUCCCUAGCUGGUCUGAGAGGAUGACCAGCCACACUGGAACUGAGACACGGACCAGACUCCUACGGGAGGGAGCAGUGGGGAAUAGUGCACAAUGGGCGCAAGCCUGAUGCAGCCAUGCCGCGUGUAUGAAGAAGGCCUUCGGGUUGUAAAGUACUGUCAGCGGGGAGGCGUUACUCGCAGAAGAAGCACCGGCUAACUCCGUGCCAGCAGCCGCGGUAAUUC